CCGAAUAAUCCCUGGUCAUAAUCAUACCAAAAACUGUCUAUCAAUGCACUACAGGCCACUGAGGACUUUUUUCACAUCAUUUAUAACAUUACAGGUCAUGAUUAUACCGAAUAAUCCCUGGUCAUAAUCAUACUAAGUCCAUCUAUGCACGUAAGCCAAAGAUGACUUUCAUCACAAUAUAAGCAUGAGGAUGAUGACAAUGACAUAAUAAUUCAAGAAAACAAGUUCAAG
rnacentral:lncRNA from 1 species